rnacentral:rRNA from 1 species
AUUGAACGCUGGCGGAAUGCUUAACAUAUGCAAGUCGAACGGAGCACCCUUGAUUGAGGUUUCGGCCAAAUGAUAGGAAUGCUUAGUGGCGGACUGGUGAGUAACGCGUGAGGAACCUGCCUUUCAGAGGGGGACAACAGUUGGAAACGACUGCUAAUACCGCAUGACGCAUUUUGAUCGCAUGGUCGAAAUGCCAAAGAUUUAUCGCUGAAAGAUGGCCUCGCGUCUGAUUAGCUAGUUGGUGAGGUAACGGCCCACCAAGGCGACGAUCGGUGGCCGGACUGAGAGGUUUACCGGCCCAAUUGGGACUGAGAUACGGCCCAGACUCCUACGGGAGGCAGCAGUGGGGAAUAUUGGGCAAUGGGCGCAAGCCUGACCCAGCAACGCCGCGUGAAGGAAGAAGGCUUUCGGGUUGUAAACUUCUUUUAAGUGGGAAGAGUAGAAGACGGUACCACUUGAAUAAGCCACGGCUAACUACGUGCCAGCCGCCGCCGUAA